GGGGAAGUAGCUCAGUGGUAGAGCGCUUGCCUCGCAUGCAUGAGGCCCUGGGUUUGAUUCCUUAGCACCCCA
rnacentral:tRNA from 1 species